rnacentral:rRNA from 2 species
UGUAGAGUUUGAUCCUGGCUCAGAUUGAACGCUGGCGGCAUGCCUUACACAUGCAAGUCGAACGGUAACAGGUUAAGCUGACGAGUGGCGAACGGGUGAGUAAUGUAUCGGAACGUGCCCAGUCGUGGGGGAUAACUGCUCGAAAGAGCAGCUAAUACCGCAUACGACCUGAGGGUGAAAGCGGGGGAUCGCAAGACCUCGCGCGAUUGGAGCGGCCGAUAUCAGAUUAGGUAGUUGGUGAGGUAAAGGCUCACCAAGCCGACGAUCUGUAGCUGGUCUGAGAGGACGACCAGCCACACUGGGACUGAGACACGGCCCAGACUCCUA